rnacentral:rRNA from 1 species
UACGAAGGGGGCUAGCGUUGCUCGGAAUUACUGGGCGUAAAGGGCGCGUAGGCGGGUCGUUAAGUUAGAGGUGAAAGCCCAGGGCUCAACCCUGGAAUUGCCUUUGAUACUGGCGGCCUUGAGUAUGGCAGAGGUGUGUGGAACUCCGAGUGUAGAGGUGAAAUUCGUAGAUAUUCGGAAGAACACCAGUGGCGAAGGCGACUCACUGGACAGGUAUUGACGCUGAGGUGCGAAAGCGUGGGGAGCAAACAGG